rnacentral:rRNA from 1 species
GACGAACGCUGGCGGCGUGCCUAAUACAUGCAAGUUGAGCGCUGAAGGUUGGUACUUGUACCAACUGGAUGAGCAGCGAACGGGUGAGUAACGCGUGGGGAAUCUGCCUUUGAGCGGGGGACAACAUUUGGAAACGAAUGCUAAUACCGCAUAAAAACUUUAAACACAAGUUUUAAGUUUGAAAGAUGCAGUUGCAUCACUCAAAGAUGAUCCCGCGUUGUAUUAGCUAGUUGGUGAGGUAAAGGCUCACCAAGGCGAUGAUACAUAGCCGACCUGAGAGGGUGGUCGGCCACAUUGGGACUGAGACACGGCCCAAACUCCUACGGGAGGCAGCAGUAGGGAAUCUUCGGCAAUGGACGAAAGUCUGACCGAGCAACGCCGCGUGAGUGAAGAAGGUUUUCGGAUCGUAAAACUCUGUUGGUAGAGAAGAACGUUGGUGAGAGUGGAAAGCUCAUCAAGUGACGGUAACUACCCAGAAAGGGACGGCUAACUACGUG